UACGAAGGGUGCAAGCGUUACUCGGAAUUACUGGGCGUAAGGCGUGCGUAGGUGGUUCGUUAAGUCUGAUGUGAAAGCCCUGGGCUCAACCUGGGAAUGGCAUUGGAAACUGGCGACCUAGAGUGCGGUAGAGGGUAGUGGAAUUCCCGGUGUAGCAGUGAAAUGCGUAGAGAUCGGGAGGAACAUCUGUGGCGAAGGCGACUGCCUGGACCAGCACUGACACUGAGGCACGAAAGCGUGGGGAGCAAACAGG
rnacentral:rRNA from 1 species